CUCAUGGUUUCACGGUAUUGCAAUGAGGACAAUUUAAAACCCUUAGCGAGAAUCAAGUGGAGGACAAGUCUGGUGCCAGCACCCGCGGUAAUUCCAGCUCCACUAGCGUAUAUUAAAGUUGUUGCAGUUAAAAAGCUCGUAGUUGAACCUCUGUCUGGGGCUAGUUUUGGCUUUGGUCAGGCUAGUUCUAGGCAUCCGCCUACAAGACUUAGAGGGCAUUCAGUUGUUCACUAGGAGGAGUAGGCAUUUUACUUUGAAAAAAUUAGAGUGUUUAAGGCAGGCAAUCGCCCGCAUAUAUUAGCAUGGAAUAAUAGAAUAGGACACUUUUCCAUUUCGUUGGUUAUUGGAAUCGUGUAAUGAUUAAUAGGGACAGUUGUGGGCAUUUGUAUUUAAUUGUCAGAGGUGAAAUUCUUGGAUUUAUUAAAGACAAACUAACGCGAAAGCAUUUGCCAAGGAUGUUUUCAUUAAUCAAGAACGAAAGUUAGGGGAUCAAAGACGAUCAGAUACCGUCCUAGUCUUAACUAUAAACUAUUCCGACUCAAUGUUUGACUGGCUUAUAUAACCAGUUGAGCGUUGUAUGAGAAAUCAAAGUCUUUAGGUUCUGGGGGGAGUAUGGUUGCAAAGCUGAAACUUAAAGGAAUUGACGGAAGAGCACAACCAGGAGUGGAUUCUGCGGCUUAAUUUGACUCAACACGGGGAAACUUACCAGGUUAAAACAAUAGUGGGAUUGACAGUUUGAGAGCGCUUUCUUGAUUGGUUGGGUGGUGGUGCAUGGCCGUUCUUAGUUGGUGGAGUGAUUUGUCUGCUUAAUUGCGUUAACGAACGAGACCUUAACCUGCUUACUAGACUGGCGAUCAUCAAUCGUUAGCUCUUCUUAGAGGGACUUUGGUUGUUUUAACUCCAAGGAAGUUUGAGGCAAUAGCAGGUCUGCGAUGCCCUUAGAUAUCCUGGGCCGCACGCGUCAUACAAUGACUAGUUCAGAAAGUUUUCUCCUGACCCGAAAGGGGAUGGGUAAUCUUGAUAAUACUAGUCGUGUUAGGGAUCGAUCUUUGCAAUUAUAGAUCUUGAACGAGGAAUUCCUAGUUAGUGCGGUUCAUCAGACCGUACUGAUUACGUCCCUGCUCUUUGUACACACCGCCCGUCGCUUCUACCGAGUGGGUGGUCCGGUGAGGUAAUUGAACUUCGCAGGUAACUGAGAGGAAAGAUUAUCAAACCUAUCCACCU
rnacentral:rRNA from 1 species